rnacentral:rRNA from 1 species
UAAUACGGAGGGUGCGAGCGUUAUCCGGAAUUAUUGGGUUUAAAGGGUGCGUAGGCGGAAAUUUAAGUCAGUGGUGAAAUCCUGCAGCUCAACUGCAGAAUGGCCAUUGAAACUGAAUUUCUUGAAUCUGAUUGAAGUAGGCGGAAUAUGACAUGUAGCGGUGAAAUGCUUAGAUAUGUCAUAGAACACCGAUAGCGAAGGCAGCUUACUAAGUCAGUAUUGACGCUAAUGCACGAAAGCGUGGGGAGCGAACAGGAUUAGAUACCCUGGUAGUCCACGCCGUAAACGAUGAUUACUCGCUAUUGGCGAUACACUGUCAGUGGCUAAGCGAAAGUGAUAAGUAAUCCACCUGGGGAGUACGAUCGCAAGGUUG